rnacentral:rRNA from 1 species
UACGUAGGAUGCAAGCGUUGUCCGGAAUUAUUGGGCGUAAAGAGCGAGCAGGCGGUUUGGAAAGUUGGACGUGAAAGCCCAGGGCUCAACCCUGGAAGUGCACUCGAUACUGCGAGGCUAGAGUCCCGGAGAGGAUGGUGGAACUCUCGGUGUAGAGGUGAAAUUCGUAGAUAUCGAGAGGAACACCGGUGGCGAAGGCGGCUUCCUGGACAGUUACUGACGCUGAGACGCGAAAGCGUGGGGAGCAAACAGG